rnacentral:misc_RNA from 1 species
CUCAUUUCCGCAUAGACCGAAGACAUAAACACUGGCGACCUCGCAGUCUGGAGAACGAUCCUUGAGGAAGUCAUAGCGAUAGUUAGUCCAUGUAACAGCGAAUAUUUCAUGUGAAAUCCUAAAGAUUAAUAUCCAGUGAAUUCUUCUGGCCAUCUUAAGAAAAGGGUUGGCGGUGAGCUUGAGUAUAACCUUGCGUUUGGGAAGGUAGACGUCCAGUUACCCAGCCUGAGGAGGGAUACACGCCCAGAGCCACCUGAUCGUCACAGUGGCUGGAGAGUAGACAUUGUACUUAUAGACGCUGUGGUGGUAUAGCUGCCAUAUGACAGCAAAUCUGACAUUGGUCAUUAAGAAGAGGUUGAGAAGAAUUGAAAGGUGAUAAAAGAAAAAAACACAACUUUGACAAAAGUUUUCAUGUAUUUCAUCACGCAAAAUGGUGAAAACAUUUCAAGCUUACCUGCCGAACAAAUGCCACCGUACCUAUAGCUGUGUGCACUGUCGAGCGCAUCUGGCCAACCACGACGAGCUGAUCUCAAAGUCAUUCCAGGGAAGCCAGGGAAGAGCAUACCUGUUCAACUCUGUGGUAAAUGUGGGAUGUGGGCCAGCGGAGGAGAGAGUGCUACUCACCGGCCUUCAUGCUGUCGCCGACAUAUUUUGCGAAUGCUGCAAAACCACCUUAGGGUGGAAAUAUGAACAUGCAUUUGAAUCUAGUCAGAAGUACAAGGAGGGAAAGUUUAUCAUAGAGCUGGCACAUAUGAUCAAGGACAAUGGAUGGGACUGAUAGAAAUGGGGGAGGGUAUACCUCCCUUCUCUCUUGUGAUGGGGGGAUUGGACCUGUGAGUAAGGAAUUCCCCCCUGAUCAUGGACUGGCCUCAUUAUUCUACAACUUGUGCUAAUAGGACCAACACAUAGGAUCACACAGAACUGGAGUCCUCUGUGAAAGUCAAUUUAUAUAUAAAGUUUUGUAGAGCUGUGAAAGACUUGGAUGACAUGUGGAGGAUAUUUUAAAAGGAUGACCCUUGUAAUAAGGUCUUUAGUGACCUUUGAGUAAGGUCAGUUAGAAAUGAGGACCUUAGACACAGAUUCAUGCUUCGUUGGUCUUGACCUGAUGACGCUUAUAGCACUGGCCACGUUUGAUUUUUUUCAAGAUUUGUGGCAUCAUGGCUAAUCAUGAUGUGUUCAAGGCAAGAUAUAUUCCAGCAUAAGGAAGCAAGGACUGAAUUGACCUUGACUGGUGACCUUGUGAAACCCUGAUGUCACAACCUCUACCUUUACUGUGGACCAUGUCACAUUGGUGUGACCUUGUUACCAAUUGUGUAGGCUUGUUUUGUAUAUUGUUGUAAGAUGCCCCACACAUUGUCAGUGUGGCUAUAUAUGUGUCUAACUUCCUAUAACAAUAUGUAAGCUAGUUUUGUAUCUAUAAGUAAACGUGUGCAAAGGUACCUAACUUUAUUAAGUCAUCAAUGAUGUUUCCUGGCCAAGUGUGAGUGUGUCAAAUCAAAUCAGCUCCAUAUAUUGUGUUUUGUUGACACCGUUCCAGUGCAGACUGAUAUUUUAUUUUAAUUUGUCGAUUAUAAAGUGCAGACUUCUUUAGAUUCCACGAAUUUUGUGAUCAAGAAAACAUAGAGUCUGGUAGUUAUAGUAAGGUGUAUAUGUGAAUGGUUUAUCUUAACAUGAAACCGCUAGAUUCUGGCCACCAGUAUAAAACUACUAUUGUAUUGUUUUUAUAACCAAUGUUGCCUGUCUCAUUUCGCAUCAGUGAUUGAGAAACAUGGAUAGAGAUCUUUGCUUGUCAUAAUGAUAAAUCAGUUCUGUUAGAACAACUUAUCAAAAUAUCUGUAAAACUUAAUUCAAACACUGUUGAUUUAUUCAAAACAUCCAAACAUGAAGGUAUCAUAAUGGAUUGGAAACAUCUUAUAUUUUACUUACAUCUGUUGUCAUGCCAUCAACUGUCUUAGGUACAAGUGUUGUCAUGGUAACAGCUUUUAUAUCACAUCUCAUAAUAAAUGUGCGUUAGAGUUAAGCACAUGAUUGAUCACAUGACAGUUAACAAUCAUAUACUGGUAGGCUAAACAGGAUUUUACAAAAUCUCACAGAACAACAGAAAUUAAUAGAUCAUCAAUGAUUUAUUUAAUUUUUGAUUCCAAACACUUUUCUCCUGUGAGAAAGCCCACUGUCUGUUUCAUAACUUCAUUAUAUAUUGAUAUUAGAUUACUGUUUGUGUUUGGUUAGCUAGGUAGACAGUGUCCUUAUUUCACCAACAUUACUUCAUUUACAUUGUAACUAUUUUUUCUUGACUUAAUUAAGCAAUGCUGUGUCUAUCAGAAGAUUUAAGUUUUAAGGAAAAAUCCUUGUUUAGAUGUUUCAUGAAUUCUUGAUCCUGACUUUCUGUAGAAGUGUUGGCCUAAGUGUGUGCGAUUUAAUGCUGUCGUACCUCUUGUUCUUUGGAGCAGUGAGAAUCUGUGAUAACUUUAUGUAUAUGAUGUGAGUGAGGAUUUGGGAUUAACAUAACAGUUGGUAGGUACCGAUCUCGUACUCAUGAAAUUCUCAGGUAAAAUACAUCUUUUUGCUAUAAAGGAGGCAAAAUAUUAUUAUUUCAGUAUGUAAAACAAAUGUUAUUUAGUCAUUAUAAGAGAGUUUGUGGGAAAGGGGGCAUAACUCUCAAAACUGCCAUGAAAUGUUAGUGCUAAAUUUAAACUAUUGCACUGCUAGAGUAUAAUGUGUUGGUACAGUCGUACGUGUACUUUAAAACAUAGUGCUAUAUUGAAGCAAAAUCCUUGAUCACUUACGUUGUAAAGUUUAUUUUUUUAAAUUCUAUGUUAUUUGGUGAUUCAUUCUGGCAUUUCUAAUUUUUGGAUUUCAAGUACAGUACACUUUGUCUAAAAGUAAAACUGACUCUGUUCAAUCAAGAUUUUUGUCUAAACUGGCUAAUGAAUUUGGUUCCAACAAUGAAAAUGCAAGUACAAAUUAGUAAAAUGUUGUGGUAUCAGUUUGUUUAGCUUACAGAGUGAACACUGUACAUAAAAAAUUAUAAUAAGUCUUAAUUAUAAGUAGUUUAUAGGACUUUCUACUAGAGAUUGUAUCCAAAAUUUAUUUUACUGACAUGACACAAUGACUAAGUCAGAACAUCUGUGAUUAAACAAACAGGUCACUUUUGAGAAGUGAUACUAAAAGCCAUAUCAUGUUGUUAUAUAUAUGUUAAGUGUGUUUUAAUGUGUUCGAAUGCAUAAAUCAUGUAAGAUUGAAAAAAAAAAAACCCACAUUUAAAAGAAAUGUGUUUAUCACAAAACUCUUUGUAAAAGUUAUAAUCCUUUAUGCAUUUGAAAUUUUAACAAUUUCUCAUCUUUUCAUUAAUGGUUUCAUUAAAAAUAAAAACCCAUUAUUACAUUCAUUAUAAGACUAAUUCACUUGCUGACAUCAAUUGUAUGGUAUGUCCUUAGAGUAUAAUCUUGAUAAAGUUUUUAAGAAUAUUUCAAUGUAAUGAGAACUUCAUAUAAGUUAGGUCUGUAAACAUUUGUUAUAAGUUAGGUCUGUAAACAUUUGUUAUAAGUUAGGUCUGUAAACAUUUGUAAACCCUGAUUUCUUCUGUGUGCUUGUAGCGUUAUGACAGUUGUGUUCACCCGUAAUAGUGUAGACAAUGGCUGCUGGAAAAAUUAACUUUUUUAUUUCACAAGAAUGAAACAAAUUAUUUCAACUUAUAUUUUAUAUUUAACUCUUUUUGGCCCGAAUAUUAGCGCGCUAGGGGUCUUUAUGUGGGAGGAACUGGAGUACCCAGAGUAAAUACCUUUUCAUGUCCGAUCGGGGAAUCAAACCCUGGCGGCCUUGGUGAAAGGCGAGUGUGUUUUCCACUGUGCACCUGACCACCCUCAGACAUUGGCUGCUUGAAACACAUAAUAGUGAUCUACAUGAUGAAGAUAUGCUAAAAAAAGACAAAGUCAAGAAAAUGAUUUGUCCAGAGAAAAUAAAAAAGAACAGUGUAAGAACCAAUAUUAUUUCAAACAUCAUUUGUAAUAAAUAUACUGUAAUGCAUGUCCAAAUUUGGUUCAAGUUAAAUCGCUUGACUUGCUAUUUGUUAUAUUUCAAUAAUGUCAACAUUAGAUUAUCAAUUUUUGAAACAUUAUUUGAAAAAUUGCCAUAUGAAGUAUUAUAUUUUGAAAUGGAAGAUAUAGUUCGAGAUUCACUUUGAUGGUAUAGAUAGAUAUUGUGUUUUUUGUGAAGUUCCAUUGAUACUUGAUAAUUUGUUUGAUAGUUCAUUAUGUUCUGUUACCAUUUCUAGGUUUUGAGGAUUAAAAAACGAAAGUUACAAAUAUUAUAUUUUAAUUCCAUUAAUUUCAAAAACUGAAAUACCUUCACAUGCUAUUUAAUAAUCUGUGACAUUUAAAACGAAAAUGACAUAUAAUGCAAAAACAACAUACUGCUUAUAGAAAACCAUCCCCAAUUUUAAAACAAAUUCUGAUGACAACACAGCCAGUGUUUUUAAAGAUAGGUUAAUCUGUUUGAAUAAAAAUUACUUUAGGACCAUUUUUUUCAUAUUCUAUACAUGUAUAAAUGUAAGAUUGUAUUUGGUCUGGCAAUUCUGAGAAGCUUUUAAUUCUUUAGUCCUCAAAGUAAUAACUACUUAUGGUUAUUUUUCAAACAUCAUCGUAUGUUAUGCUUGGAUGCAAGUACUUCAUUCUUUAAAUAUGCUAUAAUGAUAAAUUAUUUAAUGAGAAAGGAAUACAAAUGUUUGCCAUUCCAUUUAUCAAAAGAGCAGAUGUUUUUUGUUUGAUUGGAGGUUUCUGUUUUUCCAAUUUUUGUGUUUUGAAAAAAAAAAUAUUGAAAAAAGUAGGAUGAUAAACCUAGAACAGUUUACAAUGAUUUUCAAAGUUAAUCUUUAUUGAUUUAUUGGUGUCUUUUAUUAGAUGUAUACAUGUUUAUUAGUGUGAUGUAGUGCAUUUCCGUGCGUAAAUGUGAUGUAUUUUAAUGGUCAUAAAUGAUAUAGUGUUUUAUAGUGAUAUUCAUAUGAUGUUUCAUAUUUUUCGGUGGUUAAAAGUGAUAUUAAUGUUCAGUGUGUUUUUAGUGAUUAAAAGUGAUAGUUGUAUGAUGUGGUAUGGCUGUGUUAGCCAGUUAUGUUGAAUGAUUUAAUUAAUAUCUUGCAGUCCGUAUAUAUCCAUUUCCAUUAUUUUUUCUAAAGUGCAAUAAAUAUUCUCCCAUACUUGCUAAGACAUUUGGGGCUCAAACAUUUCUUUUAUCAAUCAACAUGUUCAUUUCUUGUAUAUAGAUUUUCAUUAAAAGAUUUUUCACCAUUUAGAUUGUAUGAAUACUUUCAGGAGGGAUUGAGAAUAAUAUAAGAUUAAGAAUGAAAAUAUGACCAGGUAAUUCUGAAGACAAUUUGUGAUAAAAGUAAUUUAUUUUUCCAGAAAAAAUUUGUUUCAACCUUUUUCUCAAUGUGUAAAUUUUCUAUUGUUUGUAGUUUUAUGUCUUCAACAGAAAUUUGUGUAAAUAUCGCUUAAUGCUACUGAUAUGUGUGUAAUUGUUGCUUUCAAUGUUAUUUUGUUUUGGUCGCAUACAUGUUUUACUUGAAGUAUAUUUGAUUGAAUCCAAUCUUACAUGUAAUUGGUUCCACCAGUAGUUAAACCUACCAUUGUCUCAAGACUAAAGCAUUACAAAAAUGCUUAAUAAGAUAGAUGUAUUAGAGGUCAAUAUCACAACUUCACUUAAUUGGUAAAAAAGGCCCCUAGCAUUCAAAGUCUGAUCAACACUUAAAACAACAGAGUUUUUAUACAAAGUUAUUUUAAUUUUUUUUAAUUCUCCAUGUUUUAUAAUUUCAAAAUAAAAAAUAAAAUAAAAAAUAAUUCAAAAAAAUAUUUAACAUCAUUUUCGUUUUGAAACCUCAUCAAAUUUUAUUUUGAACAAUGCAGGGCCAAUAUUUAAGUUUGCUGAGCCUAAUCACUGCUGCACAUUGUAAUUGAAUAAUAGUUUAUAUCUCAUUGUAAACAAUAGUAAUCUGUUUGUUUUGCACAUUUACAAUGCAAGGUCUCCACACUGUUACAUGAACAUCUGGCUCUGUUAAAGUUCUCUCCCUUCCACUGAAAAACAGCUAUAGUUGUCUCCCUAUUCCAAUAAAUGUCGCCUAAGUAUCAUAUUAUUUUUAAAAUUGAUAUUUUCAACUUGAGAAAAGAUAAAAACCUUUAUUUUAAAUUUAUUUGAUUAAAUAUCCAAAAAUGGUGCAUUUUAAUUCACUAAUUUGGAAGAAAUAACAUUUUUUUGAGCUUGAACACAAUUGUAGUGGAAUUUCAAUUGACACAGGAGCAGUUUGUUUAUCGGUGUGCCCAUGGAUGUUUGUUUGAUGUA